rnacentral:rRNA from 1 species
UACGAAGGGGGCUAGCGUUGUUCGGAAUUACUGGGCGUAAAGCGCACGUAGGCGGAUUUGUAAGUCAGGGGUGAAAUCCCGGGGCUCAACCUCGGAACUGCCUUUGAUACUGCAAAUCUCGAGUCCGAUAGAGGUGGGUGGAAUUCCUAGUGUAGAGGUGAAAUUCGUAGAUAUUAGGAAGAACACCGGUGGCGAAAGCGGCGCACUGGACCACAACUGACGCUGAGGCGCGAAAGCUAGGGGAGCAAACAGG